rnacentral:lncRNA from 1 species
UUUUUUUUUUUGAGACAGAAUCUCGCUCUGUCACCCGGGCUGGAAUGCAGUGGCGUGAUCUCACUGCAAUGGCUCAGUGAAUGGAAUGGCACAGUGAAUGGAAUGCAGUGGUGGAGCUCACUGCAAGCUACGCCUCCCGGGUUCAUGCCAUUCUCCUGCCUCAGCCUCCCAAGUAGCUGGGACUACAGGCGCCCACCACCAUCCCUGGCUAAUUUUUUUGUAUUUUUUUAGUAGAGACAAGGUUUCACCAUGUUAGCCAGGAUGGUCUCAAUCUCCUGACCUCGUGAUCCACCCGCCUCAGCCUCCCAACGUGCUGGGAUUACAGGCGUGAGCCACCGCGCCCAGCCUAGGAAAAUUCUUCUAUAAAGGGCCUAUUGAGGUUAAAGCAGCUCCAUCUUGGAUGCUACUCUGCCAGAUGGAGUCUUGCUCCAUCGCCCAGGCUGGAGUGCAGGGAUGCCAUCACUGCAACCUCAGCCUCUCAGGUUCAAGUGAUUCUCCUGCCUCAGCCUCCCAAGAGUACCUGGGUCUACAGGCGCAUGCCACCACACCUAGCUAAUUUUUGUAUUUUUAGUAGAGUCGGGGUUUCACCAUGUUGGCCAGGCUGGUCUUGAACUCCUGAUCUCAAGUGAUCUGCCCGCCUCGGCCUCCCAAAGUGCUGGGAUUACAGGUGUGAGCCACUGUGCCUGGCCUCUUGCAUCAUUUUUAUGUGCAGUCAGGAGGUACCUUGGUAGACGCAUCUAUGAGAGCAGAACCUGAUAAUUAGGGAAACCAAGUUCAGGCUCAGUGCUGUAAUCCUCCAUCAGGUCUCAUCACUUGAAGACAAGCAGCAUAUUCAAUGUCCUCUAAAGGACAAUAAGGUUUCUUGAGGAUAGAGUUUCUGUGAUCUUAGCACCUAGAAGAGAGCCUUGCACACAGCAGGCCAUCAAUAACAUCUGAAUAAAGGAUUAAUGAUGUUCCAGAUCUAGGAAUCAGUCAUUUAUGAUUCUAAGUUACGGAUAGUUAUAUUAUAGAUACAGAUAUACAUAUACAUAUACAUAUAUAUCAAUAUAGAGAUAUAGGCUUAUGCAUGUAUAUAUAGAGAGAUUUAUAUAUAUAUACAUAUAUAUAUAUCAAUAUCUGCCUAUAUCAUUAGUAACAGAUAAAUCACAGUCUGCAUUUAGGUAAAUUAUGUACUUAUUUGCCUAUUUAACAUUCUAUUUCUUGCCAUAAAAUUGCAAGUUCCACAAGGACAGAAAAUUGGCCUGGCUUGUUAUUGUUCUAUUGUCAAUGCCUAGAACAGUGUCCGGAACACAGUAGGUAUUCAAUACAUUUUUUUAAAUUAAUGAGUGAACGAAUUGUUGAUGCACAAUAAGUACAUAGUUUCUCUCUGAGUUUCAUGCAGACACAGAAUUUUUUCUUCUGUUCUCCAGCUGUGACUUAUUGGAUGAGAAUUGCAUAAUCACACUAAUUGACUUCAUAACAAAUUUAUGAUUUCCCAUCUCAGCCAGACUC